CCAGGGAGGCUGAAUUUUCCUAAGAGUACGAAUCAAGCGGCUCCUCUACCUGUAAAACGGGGAAUUCGCCUGGUGUGCAUUGGGAUCUAAAGGGAUCUCUGGGAUGUUGUGGCUGGAGAGAGACACAUGUGGAUGGUGUUGGGCACUGGAUUUGUCCAUCAGAGCUCAAGGAGUCAGAAGUCACUGUGGAAGGACCAUGGGGGAUAAUUUAAGGAGCUCCAAGACCCCAUCUCACGGCCGGUGACAAGGAGCAACUCCCAGGGGAAGCGAGGGGGCGGCGGAUUCCAGCGAACGUCGAGCGGGAACGAGGCAAGUGUCGCGAGCGGUGAGGACGGGCCUUGUCUUUCUGCAGAGCCAUAUCCUUCGCCGUGUUCUCCAUGUGCCAGUAUACCCACAUGUGCAAGAGGAAUGGCUGAAUCUAACUGCACGAGCCCAGCUGAGCAGCCCAGAUGAGG